rnacentral:rRNA from 1 species
CCAGACUCCUACGGGAGGCAGCAGUGGGGAAUAUUGCACAAUGGGGGGAACCCUGAUGCAGCGACGCCGCGUGGGUGAAGGAGUAUUUCGGUAUGUAAAGCCCUAUCAGCAGGGAAGAACAAUGACGGUACCUGACUAAGAAGCACCGGCUAAAUACGUGCCAGCAGCCGCGGUAAUACGUAUGGUGCAAGCGUUAUCCGGAUUUACUGGGUGUAAAGGGAGCGCAGGCGGCGCGUUAAGCCUGGUGUGAAAGCCCGCGGCCCAACCGCGGGACUGCAUUGGGAACUGCAUGGCUGGAGUACAGGAGGGGCAGGCGGAAUUCCUAGUGUAGCGGCGAAAUGCGUAGAUAUUAGGAGGAACACCGGUGGCGAAGGCGGCCUGCUGGACUGUGACUGACGUUGAGGCCCGAAGGCGUGGGGAGCAAACAGGAUUAGAUACCCUCGUAU